rnacentral:rRNA from 1 species
CCUACGGGAGGCAGCAGUGGGGAAUAUUGGACAAUGGGGGGAACCCUGAUCCAGCCAUGCCGCGUGUGUGAAGAAGGCCCUCGGGUUGUAAAGCACUUUCAGUGAGGAAGAACGCCUGGUGGUUAAUACCCAUCAGGAAAGACAUCACUCACAGAAGAAGUACCGGCUAACUCCGUGCCAGCAGCCGCGGUAAUACGGAGGUUGCGAGCGUUAAUCGGAAUUACUGGGCGUAAAGCGCGCGUAGGUGGCUUGAUAAGCCGGUUGUGAAAGCCCCGGGCUCAACCUGGGAACGGCAUCCGGAACUGUCAAGCUAGAGUGCAGGAGAGGAAGGUAGAAUUCCCGGUGUAGCGGUGAAAUGCGUAGAGAUCGGGAGGAAUACCAGUGGCGAAGGCGGCCUUCUGGACUGACACUGACACUGAGGUGCGAAAGCGUGGGUAGCAAACAGGAUUAGAUACCCUUGUAGUC